CCCUGCUGGGGCGGCCGCUGCACCGACACCGACGGGGCGCCACGGGGCGACAGCCGGCAGCUGCAAUAACAAGUGCAUCUUGCAGAGCGCUCGGAACUGCAUCCGGCGAGGCGUUUGAAUCAGAAAGCUGCGGGAAUAGCUCGGCAAUCACGGCAUGCUACGGAGCGAUGACGGGCUUUCGCGGGAGGUGUGCAGCAAAGGAAGAGGAAAGGGGGAUGGGGAUCAUCCCCGGAUCUCAGCGGGCGGCAAUCAUACAAAAUUGACGAAAAUAGCUGGCAUUUGUGUCACUGUGAUCUGUACCGGGCAGGAGCAGAAAAGUGUGUCUCCGUGAAAUUGAACACUCCUCAAAUUAUUUGUCUCUUGCAAUCGAAUAUCAAAAGUACGCUCCUGGCACUCAUUCCGGAAAGAGAAAAGACGAGGGUAAUGGCACUCUAGUCCGAUCUUGAA